rnacentral:lncRNA from 1 species
AUACCCUGUAGAUCCGAAUUUGUGUGAUAUUUAGCUACAAAUUCGGUUUUGCAGGAUUUCUGCGGCGCUAUGUUAGUCAACUAUGAAGAAAUAUCAUGGACUUACAUUACUCGGAUUUCGUAGACAGUUUGGACAGUACCAUUAAGGUAGUUCUGCACGUUUGAUAAACCGGAAGUGAUGGCGUAACGUAAUUUAUCCGGAAUACGUGGAAUAAAGCCUAGAUUCAGC